CAGCACCUCAAGUGGUCAGGAUGAUUAUUGGGCCUAAAGCAUCCGUAGCCGGCGCUGUAAGUUUUCGGUUAAAUCUGUACGCUCAACGUACAGGCUGCCGGGAAUACUGCAGCGCUAGGGAGUGGGAGAGGUAGACGGUACUCGGUAGGAAGGGGUAAAAUCCUUUGAUCUAUUGAUGACACCUGUGGCGAAGGCGGUCUACCAGAACACGUCCGACGGUGAGGGAUGAAAGCUGGGGGAGCAAACCGGAUUAGAGACCCGAGUAGUCC
rnacentral:rRNA from 1 species